AGUUGGCCUUGGGCUUCGGUGGCCAACCCAUGACUACAAAAGCCCGAGAAGCCAGCAGGUCCCCCAGCUCCUCCACCAAGUGGCCUCUGGGUGAUGGGGAAGCUUGUCCUCUGCUUUGUCACACGCAAAACUCUAAAAGUCAGCAUCCCAACGCAUCGGCCUGGAGAGCCCAUCCAGGGGAGGAUUUAUGUGGAAUCUGGCUUUUCUGAUAGCAUCGACGUUCCUUCCCGUGCCUUCUGAGUCUCUUUCUCUUAAUUUGACUGUGGUCUCUGCUCUUUGCUGGACUCAGUG
rnacentral:lncRNA from 1 species